CCCAGUCAGCGGAACUGCUCAGUUGACAUUGGCUGGAAGAAAUCAUAAAUGGUUUUAUGACCACUGUAAUUGCCCACCUGGGUUCUUCCUGCCUGCUGCCCAGAAAAGCCAAACACGGAGAACACCAGGAAUUGCAGUAGAGAAAGUUUAAUCACAGGGCCAACCAGGCUGAAGGAUGGAAGAUGUUUAUCAAAUCUGCUUCCCUGAGAAUUUGGAAUCCAGGGAUUUUUAAGGAUAGUUUGGUGGGCAGGGGGCUAGGGAAUGGGAAAUGCUGAUUGGUUGGGUUGGGAAUGAAAUCGUAGGGGGAUGAAGCUGUCUUCUUAUGCUGAAUCAAUUCCUAUAGGGGUCAGAAACCUACUGUGUCAGUUUAUUGGUAAAGGUUACUGGUUUGGGCAGUGUCAGCUGGUCCAUCAGAAUGCAGGGUCUGAAAAAUACCUCAAGCACUAGUCCUAGGAUUUACAAUAGUAAUGUUAUCCAUAGGAGCAAUUGAGAAAGUUACAAACCUUGUAACCUCUAGCUGCAUGACUCCCAAACCAUAAUUCUAACCUUGUGCCCAUUUUUUUUUUUACAAAGGCAGUUUCAAGCCUGGGCAACAUGAUGAAACCUGUCUCUACAAAAUAUACAAAAAUUAGCCAGGCAUCAUGGCACCUGGGACCUGUGGUCCCAGCUACUGGGGAGGCUGAGACAGGAGGACCGCUUGAGCCUCAGAGGUGGAGGUUGCAGUGAGCUGAGAUAAUGCCACUGAAACUCCAGCCUGGGUGACAGAACAAGACCCUGUCUCAAAAACAACAUCAGUGGCUGGGCGUGGUGGCUUACACCUGUAAUCCCAGCACUUCGGGAGGCCGAGGUGGGCAAAUCGCCUGUGCUCAAGAGUUUAAGACCACCCUGAGCAACAUGGGGAAACCCUGUCUCUACUAAAACACAAAAUAUUAGUCAGGCAUGGUGGAGGCACAUGCCUGUAAUCCCAGCUACUCGGGAGGCUGAGGUAGGAGAAUCAUUUGAACCCAGGUUGCGGUGAGCCGAGAUCGCACCAUUGCACACUCCAGCCUGGUCAACAAGAGCAAAACUCCCGCCAGGCAUGGUGGCUUAUGCCUGUAAUCCCAGCACU
rnacentral:lncRNA from 1 species